CAUCUUUCUCCCAUGUUGGAUGCUUCCUGCCCUUGAACAUCAGACUCCAGGUUCUUCAGCUGUUGGACUCUUGGACUUACACCAGUGACCUGCCAGGGGCUCUCAGGCCUUUGGCCACAGACCGAAGGUUACACUGUUGGCUUCUCUAUUUCUGAGGUUUUGGGACUGGGACUGGCUUUCUGGCUCCUUAGCCUGCAGAUGGUCUAUUCUGGGACUUCACCUUGUGAUCGUAAAUAUAACUUUGAGUUAGACCCUAGGCCACCCAUGGAAAACUCCAUCUCUCAGCUGUUUAUGACCAGCGGGAUGUGUGUAGAAUUGAUGUGCGCAGCUGCAGGAUCAGGUCUGGAAAAAGAGGGGCAUGUCCUGCCUUUCAUCCUUUUUUCCUUCCUUCUGGCUAAACUGCAGGCACAAUGGGAGCCAUUCUGAGCCAUGCCCAUGAGGACAAUAUCUCAGGAAAAGUGAACAACAAGAUAGAAGGAGCCUGGGUCCCCAAGGCUGUGGAACUGCUGUGCCAUGGUGGACUGCUUGUCCUGUAGUGCUAUAUGAGAAGGAAGUAAAUUUCUGAAUUGUUUAAACAACUAAUAUUCGGGGCUGCAGCUUCCACCACAACUUAGACAGAAGAGGGCAUGUGCACUGGAUCCCUUCAUCAGGAAGCCCUGGAUCUCCCCCCCCAACACAAUUAUGAAAGAACACAUGAGCACCCAGUGGCUCAGGACCCAGUGCUGGGCACCGACACAGCACGAGCGAGUGGGCACCUGAACAUCCACUUAUGUGACUAAUGUUCAGCCUUCAGGGAAACAUUUCUCCACAUCUCUUGCCCUAGUCCUCAAAACAAAAGGCUACUGUGUCCAAAUGUUGUGAAAGAUUGGGGAUUGUGACAUCGCCAACAUCAGAGACAGACGCAGAGUACAGGGAGAAUCUGAGCAGUGCCAGCCCUUAAGUAUUGACUCAACAACUCCUCCCUCAGAGACCAGCAAUGUAACAGAUUCCUGAAUAACCAAGAAGUAUUGCUUCCCAGAAGGGAAGAAUCCUCAUUUUCUUGAUUCUAUUCAUAUUCCAAUUCUUGAUUCUACCAGUACCACUGAAGUAGUGUGAUAACCACAAGAGUUACAUAUGAAAGUUAUGGAAUAGUUUGCAAUAUUAAACAAUUCGUAACCUUUAAAUAUAUACACAUCUAGAUAGGUCUAGAGAUAAUACGUGUGACAUGUGAAACUGAUUUUUUAAAAUUUUUAAUUUUUGUGGGUAUGUAGUAGGUGUACAUAUUUAUGAGGUAUACGGGAUAUUUUGAUACAGGUGAAACUGAUCCUUUAUAUUGGCAACUACAUAUACUUGAAAAGCUAGAGUUAAAAAUGGUUUUAUUUUUAUAAAAAUAUGAUUCAAAUAAGUGUUUUAAAAAUUAAGUAACAAUUUCAACCUUAUUUAAAUUUAAAUUUAAAAUUUGGUAUUAUUCAUGUGUUUUGAUCUUAAAUUUUAGAUAUUUAGAUAUUUUAAAUACUGUUUAAAAUUUUUGAAAAACAUUAAUUUAGAAUGUUUUAAUUUUGAUUUAUUAGUUUAAAUUUACAUUUUGAUAGUAAUUCAUUCAAAUUUGACACACAUUUAAUUUUUUAGUCUUUUAGGUCCUUACUGACAACUGAACACUAGUUAUAUAAAGCAACAUUAAUUAAGGAUUAUUCUGAAAUGAAGGCAAGAAAAUUUGCUAUAGUAUAUAUAAUUUAUGAAUUAUAUGUAUAUGUUAUUGUUUCAUCCAAACAUUGUCCAUUAGCAGAAUACCCAACAGGCAUAAUAAUAAAUUCUAUUACCUUUAACAUUUUGCCAACUUUCAAUGAUAUCAAGACCAUAGCUUUCCACAUGUCACUAUAAAGAUAUAUUGUCAAUAUAGUUGAAUAGAAUAUAUUAAACAGCAAUUUAUAACUUUUAAUUACUUAGACAUGGUAUUUCAUUCAUUUGUCUUCUUGUCCUGAGCUCUACAAAUGUUAGAAAAGGGGCUGAUUUAGGGUCUCUCUUAGGGCAAUUAAACUUAUGUCCUAAACAAUGCAAUGCCCUGGCUUACUUCCUAGAUAAGUCAGAGCCCACAAUAGUAUAAAAGUAAAAUGCUACUUCAAAUCAUAAAAAUAAUUCAUUGGUUAUUAUUCUACAGCCUAUGUAUGGUGUAUAUAAGACUUACAAUCUCUGUAGAACUAUGUGUCACACAAGGAUUGUUUUGAGACAAUCAGUGUUUGCAGAUACGUGCAUGUAUUAGUUAUCUAUUGCUUUGUAACAAAUCACUAUAAAUUUAGCAGCUUAAAACAACACAUAUUAAUGAUAUCCCAGUUUCUGUGGGUAAGGAGUGUAGACACAAUUUAGUUGGGUCCUCUGCUCCGGGGUCACAAGGCUUCAAUCAAAGUGUCAAAUGGGCUGCAUUCUCAUCUGGAGGCUUGCCUGGGGAAGAAUCCAAGCUCAUUCAGGUUGUUGGCAGAAUUUAU
rnacentral:lncRNA from 1 species